rnacentral:rRNA from 1 species
AUACGGAGGGUGCAAGCGUUAUUCGGAAUCACUGGGCGUAAAGGGUGCGUAGGCGGUUUGAUAAGUCUGAUGUGAAAUCCUAUGGCUCAACCAUAGAACUGCAUUGGAAACUGUCAGACUAGAAUACUGAAGGGGCAGAUGGAAUUAGUGGUGUAGGGGUAAAAUCCGUAGAUAUCACUAGGAAUACCGAAAGCGAAAGCGAUCUGCUGGGAAGUUAUUGACGCUGAGGCACGAAAGCGUGGGGAGCAAACGGGAGUAGAUACCCUAGUAGUCC